GUGUGUGUGUGUGUGUGUGUGUGUGUGUGUGUGUGUGUGUGUGCGUGCGUGCGUGCGUGCGUGCGUGCGUGCGUGCGUGCGUGCGUGUGUAUAGACUCAUACAAUAGUAAGCUUGGCAUUUAGUAUAUUUCCUCAAAAACAGCCAAGCACAACAACAUACACAUAAGCCAGUAUCACAGCAUUCACUUGGUAGUCAGCUAGUUCCUGCUGAUUUCCUGUACUUUUACUCUUUGAUUUGAAGAGAAGCAGUUGAUUAGAGCUGAACAUUCUCCUGUGUCUGGUGUUAAACAUAAUGCUGGCAAGAUAAUAAUGCACCUUCAUCUGCUAAAACAUUCCAUGGUCUGAACUAACGUUACCAAUUUAUUGUGUUUUCCCAGUGCUCUGUAUUACUGUGAAGUGCUGAGAGCCAUCUUUAUCUGCUUUCAAAGACUGCCACCUAGAGGCUAUCCAAGAUUUCAAAGGACACAAUAUCCUCCAGACAGCCUUCAUCAGAGAGGAGGAGGACUGAUGUCGUACUGAGAGUCAAGGGGUUAGAGUUGAGAGAUCAGCUCACCCAAUGUCUCCUCCCUUCAGCAGCCUGCGGUCUUGAUGUCCAGCCGGGCCUGGUACUCCUGGGAGCUGUGCUCUGUGUCUGACCUGAUCUGGGUCAGCCGGCUCUCCAGACCUGUCACCGACGCCUGUAGGCUCAUCAUCAUGGCUCCGUAGCAAGCUUCCAUCUCCGCAAGGUUCCCCUCCAUAGAGCCUUCUACAAGGGCAGGGCCACAGACACACAGUGAGAACUGAGCUGAACUCUGAAUCUUCAAUCCUUUUUGGUUAAGUCUGACUUGUACACUUCAUUUCUGGAGGUCACUUAGCAUUUUAUUUUCCAAAUAGAUGUAUGUCCAAUCCCUACAGCAGACGAGUACGGGGCAAGAGUUGUGAUGUCUUGAGCUGAAGUGAUCCUUGGAACUGUAAAAAAUAAUUUGUGGCUUGUUUUGAAACUCUUUAGGCCUAUUUGUUCUGAGCAUCAUGACGCAUGUUGUAAUAGUAAAUCAUAGGGUCCAAACGGAGAGUCUUAUAAUGUGACAGGUAAAUGAGAAACUAAAGUGCUUCUAUCCAAGAAGUUCUAAAUCUGCCGUGCUGGGCGUGCCACCAAACCAUGGAACUCUAUAUCGGUUGUGUUGGGAAUGCCACUUUACUGCAGCCCCAGUUCCAGGUCUCUGGCAGUGGACUGGCCGCUCUUCAGCUCUACACUGGUGGUCUGCAGGACCUCAGUACUGGAGCUCACCUCCCGCUGCACCACUUCAGCCUGAGGGAACCAACACGCACAGGUCCAUGGAGUCAUACACAAGGGUUGCGUCCCAAAUGCACACUAUUCCCUACAUCUCGUGCACUACAUUUUUACCAGAGCUCUAUGGGCCCUGGUCAAAAGUAGUGCACCCUACAGGAAUAGGGUGCAAUUUGGGAUGUACUCUAUGUCUGUGUGUUUGUCCCCUUGCCUUGUUCUUGAACCAGGCCCCGGUCUCUCUACGGCUCUUUGACACCAAGCCCUGGUUCUGAUCUCAGUGAUGACAGUGUUCAAGUCCUAGACCGGGGCCGCGUCCACCUCCACCUGCACCUGUCCACUCAUCGGGGCACGGAACCACAUGGUCUUCUAGGAAACAACAACAACAUCAACAACAACAUUACAGAGGUAUCAGCAUAGGAAUUGGCAGCACAGACAGAUCUGGGACCAGGCUAACCUGGCCAAGCAUCCUCCCCCAGCAUCCUCUUCAGCCCCCACGAUGUCAGCCUCAACAGAUUGUCGUGAAUGGAGAAUGUGGCCAUGAUGACUUCAGAGAGCGCAAGAAGCAUGGUCUCUGGUGGGAGAUGCACUGCAAGUGGGGUGCAGUUGUGGUCUCUCUGUGAAACACUGUUAUUAAUGGGCAUGUGGAAUGUGAUGACUGGGGUCUGCCUUGAGCCAUCUCUCAAUUUUCAUGUUCACGAUCGCAGGGUCUCUCUCUCUCUGUCUCUCUGGCAUGCUCUGCCACUCAGUCCUAUCUGUCAGCAAGUCAGCCCAUCUGCAGGAUGUCCUCUAGCUCUUUCACUCACAAACAUGCCACCCCCUCCCCUUCUCUCACCCCUUCCUCCAAAUCUUGUAUGUCCAGACGUGCAAACAAGAAUGAUAGGGUCAUAGGUUUACACUACUUAGUGGAGGCUGCUGAGGGGAGGAUGGCUCAUAAUAAUGGCUGGAGUGGAGUCAAUGGAAUAGAAUCAACCACAUGGAAACCACAUUGUUAAUGUGUUUGGUACCAUUCCACUGACAGCAUUCCAGCCAUUAUUAUGAGCCGUCCUCCCCUCAGCAGCCACCAGUGACACUACUGUACAACUGCAAACUGCAGUAACUGCACAUUUGGUCAAAAUUGAGUUAAGACCGAAAUCAGGUUUUGUAGUAUCUGUUUUAUCUUGUGUCCCCUGGUUCAAUUAACUUUAGUUUCAGAGAAAAUACUAUGGAGUGUCAAAUUUACAGUAACUACAAAAUAAGUAGUAAAGUAAAAAACCAAGGCAAACAGCAGUAACUUAAGUUACUAAGUGAAGUUACUGUACUCUGGGUUUGUUCCACUGUGUUUUGACUGCAGUUACUGAAGUUUUCCCAUUCUAUUCGAGUUCAGGCCAUCCCGAUCAUGACUCACACACACCAUGAGACAGCCAGUGAUCCAGUUGCUAACAGAAUAAACAGGGCACAAUCCCACAGACCAAUUAUGGCUGAACUCGCAUUGAAAUGCAAAUACCCAGAUAAUGUAUACAUCGUUUGUGAUCUUGUACCUACCUAUUUAGUCACAGAUUUAGAUCCCUAAUGCAAUUGGAAACAUUAAUGUCAUCACUUGCAUAUUGCAUCAAGACACAUUGUUGGAUCUGUUUGGAUAUGUUUACAGACUAAGCUUCUUCUGCCUUUAGGUUAUCCCACCAAUGUGAAAUUAAAGGAUUUGAAAAGCAUAAAUGAAUCCGAGUAUAUGUCAGAAAUGACUGGUGUUACGUAAGUGAAAGGUACACCAUAUGGAUGAGAAGACUAAUGACAAGCAGGCUAGCUUGUCAAAAUAUUCCUAAGUAACUUCGUAUUUAUUUUAGAAAGAUCCUCUUCGAAUGGGCAUGGUCUAAUUGAAUCAACAGUUAAAUAUACAUAUCUGAUUUGAGCUUUCUUAAUGACGCAAGUCUCUUCUCAUUAUUGGUGUCCUUUAGCAGUGGUUUCUUUGCAGUAAUUUGAACAUGAAGGCCUGAUUCACACAGCCUCCUCUGAACAGUUGAUGUUGAGAUGUGUCUGUUACUUGAACUCCGCAUUUAUUUGGGCUGCAAUCUGAGGUUUUCCAGAAAUGUUCCGGAUUGACUGACCUUCAUGUCUUAAAGUAAUGAUGGACUGUUAUUUCUCUAUGUUUAUUUGAGCUGUUCUUGCAAUAAUAUGGACUUGGUCUUUAGCCAAACUGUGCUUCUUCUCUGUUUCAUCCAUACCUUGUCAUAACACAACUGAUUGGCUCAAACACAUUAAGAAGGAAAGAAAUUCCACAAAUGAACUUUUAACAAGGUACACCUGUGAAUUGAACUGCAUUCCAGGUGACUACUUCAUGAAGCUUCCUGUGGUUUACUGCGAAGUGGUAGGCCACAUCGGGACCGCCGAAUGCUGUCUGUCCUCUGUUGCAACACUCACUACCAAGUUCCAAACUGCCUCUGGAAGCAACAUCAGCACAUUAAAUGGGUUUCCAUGGCCAAGCAGCCGCACACAAGCCUAAGAUCACCAUGCUCAAUACCAAGCGGUGGCUGGAGUGGUGUAAUACUCGCCCCCAGUGGACUCUGGAGCAGUGGAAAUGUGUUCUCUGGAGUGAUGGAUCACACUUCACUUUUGGAUUGGUUAUUCUGGAAUGUUGACAACUCAGCGGUUUGGAUUGGUUAUUCUGGAGUGUUGACAACUCAGCGGUUUGGAUUGGUUAUUCUGGAGUGUUGACAACUCAGCGGUUUGGAUUGGUUAUUCUGGAGUGUUGACAACUCAGCGGUUUGGAUUGGUUAUUCUGGAGUGUUGACAACUCAGCGGUUUGGAUUGGUUAUUCUGGAGUGUUGACAACUCAGCGGUUUGGAUUGGUUAUUCUGGAGUGUUGACAACUCAGCGGUUUGGAUUGGUUAUUCUGGAGUGUUGACAACUCUGCGGUUUGGAUUGGUUAUUCUGGAGUGUUGACAACUCAGCGGUUUGGAUUGGUUAUUCUGGAGUGUUGACAACUCAGCGGUUUGGAUUGGUUAUUCUGGAGUGUUGACAAUUCAGCGGUUUGGAUUGGUUAUUCUGGAGUGUUGACAACUCAGCGGUUUGGAUUGGUUAUUCUGGAGUGUUGACAACUCAGCGGUUUGGAUUGGUUAUUCUGGAGUGUUGACAAUUCAGCGGUUUGGAUUGGUUAUUCUGGAGUGUUGACAAUUCAGCGGUUUGGAUUGGUUAUUCUGGAGUGUUGACAAUUCAGCAGUUUGGAUUGGUUAUUCUGGAGUGUUGACAACUCAGCGGUUUGGAUUGGUUAUUCUGGAGUGUUGACAACUCAGCGGUUUGGAUUGGUUAUUCUGGAGUGUUGACAACUCAGCGGUUUGGAUUGGUUAUUCUGGAGUGUUGACAACUCAGCGGUUUGGAUUGGUUAUUCUGGAGUGUUGACAAUUCAGCGGUUUGGAUUGGUUAUUCUGGAGUGUUGACAAUUCAGCGGUUUGGAUUGGUUAUUCUGGAGUGUUGACAACUCAGCGGUUUGGAUUGGUUAUUCUGGAGUGUUGACAACUCAGCGGUUCGGAUUGGUUAUUCUGGAGUGUUGACAAUUCAGCGGUUUUGGAUUGGUUAUUCUGGAGUGUUGACAAUUCAGCGGUUUGGAUUGGUUAUUCUGGAGUGUUGACAACUCAGCGGUUUGGAUUGGUUAUUCUGGAGUGUUGACAACUCAGCGGUUUGGAUUGGUUAUUCUGGAGUGUUGACAACUCAGCGGUUUGGAUUGGUUAUUCUGGAGUGUUGACAACUCAGCGGUUUGGAUUGGUUAUUCUGGAGUGUUGACAACUCAGCGGUUUGGAUUGGUUAUUCUGGAGUGUUGACAACUCAGCGGUUUGGAUUGGUUAUUCUGGAGUGUUGACAACUCAGCUGUUUGGAUUGGUUAUUCUGGAGUGUUGAC